CCUACGGGUGGCAGCAGUGAGGAAUAUUGGUCAAUGGGCGCGAGCCUGAACCAGCCAAGUCGCGUGAGGGAAGACGGUCCUAUGGAUUGUAAACCUCUUUUGUCGGGGAGCAAAAGACGCCACGCGUGGCGUUCAGAGAGUACCCGAAGAAAAAGCAUCGGCUAACUCCGUGCCAGCAGCCGCGGUAAUACGGAGGAUGCGAGCGUUAUCCGGAUUUAUUGGGUUUAAAGGGUGCGCAGGCGGAAGAUCAAGUCAGCGGUAAAAUUGAGAGGCUCAACCUCUUCGAGCCGUUGAAACUGGUUUGCUUGAGUGAGUGAGAAGUAUGCGGAAUGCGUGGUGUAGCGGUGAAAUGCAUAGAUAUCACGCAGAACUCCGAUUGCGAAGGCAGCAUACCGGCGCUCAACUGACGCUCAUGCACGAAAGUGUGGGUAUCGAACAGGAUUAGAUACCCCUGUAGUC
rnacentral:rRNA from 1 species